ensembl:lncRNA
GUCCUAACCACUGGACUACCAGGGAAUUCCCCUGAUGUUCCCAUUCUGCAGGUGAGAAGACUGAGGCUGGCAGGGGACUCACUCACCAGGACUCGUGGCCAAACUAAUGCACCACUCAUGGUUUUUCUCUGAGUCUGCCUUUAAAAACGCAUAAGAGUUGCGGCAUUAACACACAUGAUUUCACACACCUGGAUAUCUUUCUACUUUAAAAAAUGGCCCUCCCUAACUUGAUUGCUUUACUGAAAUCUAUUCUUUACCCCUUAUAAAAAGAAGUCCCAUUUUUCAGCGACUGAACUGCUUCUAGCUACUUUUUCUCUUUCCAGCUGAUGGAGGCAGAAGCACUGAGCAUCUCAGGGAGGCUGAGUUCCUGGUGCAGGAAUGGUACAGGUGCUUGUGGGUGUAGUAGUCACAGAAAUCAAGCCCCUGGUAACUGCAGACCUGCCGUUGUCAAUUCCUGCCUUCGCAGUAUCUGCUGGCAGCCCUGACAGCAAUGGCUUCAUCAGGACUUUUCUGUGUCACGGUUUCUGGAGUUGCUUGCUGCUGGGAACCCUGAUUCAUCCAGGCCCUCACUGGACACACAGCUCCAGCAGGGAUCCCUCCAGAGCACAGAGAACCAUCCCAGCCAUCCUGCUUCUACUGACGAAGCCUGGACCCAGAUUAACUCUCCUGAGUGACCAUGCCACACACCUGACUCACAUUAAAUUUAACGGUCAACUGAAACCCUCACACUUCUGGGGCAGGGACUCACUCCCUGGUCCAGGGAAUUUCUAGGAAAACAGACUUUAUGUAGUUCCUUAUUACUUGUUCAAUGGAAAAUGGUGUCUGAGCUUCCCCCCACCCCCAACCACGAUAUUUAAUGUAUGAGAGUGAUGCCUUUGAAGUGCUGAAAAAGUGCAGUCAUUCCCUUGACAAGGAAAGGGAGGAAUUAUGGAUGAAAUCCUGCCCCCUCCCUCCCCUGCAGCACAUGCUGUCGGAGUCUCAAGGUCACCCGGCAGCCGUCUCAGGCAGAUGCUUCUCUCUUCCCUCUUCACUAUCAAAGUGUUUUCAAGGGAACCACAGAAGGGACAGCUGCCUUUGAUUGUUCCCUUCUUGAUCCUCCUGGGUCCCUAACCACUCCCAGGGGUCUCCGUGAGUGCAGAAAGAGGCCUCAUAAAACAGCCUUAAAAUAAACAAGAAUUUUCUCCUUUUCUUCUACUGCCUGCCCUGAAGGAAAAAGGGAAAAGAAAAGCGAGGGAGAGGGUGGGUGUUUGAUGGCAGAGAGGAGAGUCCCUUAUGCAUCUUACAACAUCAGUAAACACCUGUGAGAUAAAUACAUUUGAUUUAGACCCAACGUAGAUCAGGAAAAAGGGAGGGUAGUAUGAAGUUCUGUGCAAAUAAUUCCUUAGGGAUAAUUCUGAAACCACCUAGAAAAACAGAAUUUGAAAUGAUUUCCCCAGAUG